AUACAGGCGACCUAUUACACACCUGAACAUCUAAAAAGUGAAUUUAAUAUCACCCUGGAAGGUAUUAUACCACUUUCAUACCUUGUGGUGUUCCACACGCGCAUGCCACGUCAGCGCCAUGUGGAAAUAAAAUAAAUUUUAUUAUUUUCAUUACUUUUUCUUUUUAAUUUGCACUAUUUUCUUUUUCCUUUUCUUUUAUACUCAUUACAAAAACUCCAUUAUCACCGGUGGCACAUCACCAUCCCCAAACCCAGUCAUCAAUUCCAUCAUCACCAUCAAAUUUACUAGCUAUAAACAAAGAUGCCAUCACCAACAAUUUUACAGCCCACCAUAAAAAAAAAAAAGAAAAAAAAAAGAACAUGAAUCUCGAUGGUGAGAGAAAAGGAGAGCAGAAAAUCAAUCCCAUCACCGUACGUCGUUGUUUGAAACAAUUGGAAAAAGAGUUUUACUUUAAGCUAAAUUGUUGGGUCGAUUCCAGUGAAGAUGUCACGAAAAUAUGAAGUUCGGCUGUCGGAAAAUUUUCUGAGAAAUCAAUGGCGGUGUGAUAAUUCUUCUCUACUAAUUUUCCGACAAAGUUGCAGCUAUAUGUACUAAAGAAGGUGAAAAUUUUGAGUGUUUAUUUUUUUUAUCAACAAUGGAGUAAGAGAAAGAUUGGUUUC